GGGGAAUAUUGGACAAUGGGGGGAACCCUGAUCCAGACAUGCCGCGUGUGUGAAGAAGGCCUUAUGGUUGUAAAGCACUUUAAGCGAGGAGGAGGCUCUUUUGGUUAAUACCCAAGAUGAGUGGACGUUACUCGCAGAAUAAGCACCGGCUAACUCUGUGCCAGCAGCCGCGGUAAUACAGAGGGUGCGAGCGUUAUCGGAUUUACUGGGCGUAAAGCGUGCGUAGGCGGCUUUUUAAGUCGGAUGUGAAAUCCCCGAGCUUAACUUGGGAAAUGCAUUCGAUACUGGGGAGCUAGGGGAUGGGAGAGGAUUGGAGAAUUCCAAGUGUAGCGGUGAAAUUCGGAGAGAUCUGGAGGAAUACCGGUGGCGAAGGCAGCCAUCUGGGCUAAUACUGACGCUGAGGUACGAAAGCAUGGGGAGCAAACA
rnacentral:rRNA from 1 species